rfam:Bacilli bacterium VT-13-104 contig044, whole genome shotgun sequence.
AAGUAAGGUAGAGGUGCAAAGACCAUCAGUACUUAUGUAGAGGAGAAUGAGAUCUGACGAAACAUAAGGAAAGGGGAAUUUGCCGAAGCGGAGGGAUUCUCAUUAUCCCAACGUUGGGUCUGUAUUGAAUAAGUACAGAACUGUCAUAUAGGGGACUAUAUGGGGGGCUAUCUAGCUA